GAAAAAGUAUAUAUAAUAGAGAAAGUAAUAAGUGAUUUUCGCUUGUGAAACAAUUGAAAAUUUCAGCGGCUAUUCCGAAAGCAGAAUACAAUACCAACCUUUACAGACAAAUAAAGGGAGAGUGCGAAAAUUUUGGAUGCGGAAGCCUAUAUUUUGCCAUUAUGAUGAGAACUUCAGGUCGAUUUGGGUUAUGUGAAUGGAACAUUCCGUAGUGCAACCUAUUCUUAUAUUGUCAUUAUAGCUACAGUUCUACGUGGAAGUGAAAAAGUUCAUCAACAAAGCUUUCAGGACAACUAUGGUACACAUAGCACUACGGGCACACUAAUACAGAAUAGGUCUUGGUACAAUUAGAAGGUGAAGUCAUGAGCCCAGCUGGUCAAACUUUCCAAUUUCAGAUUUGAAUCCAGAUUUUUGUUUUUCUUCACAUUUUGAAUUUAUAAUUUACACUUUUAUAAUCAUAACUCUUUUGAUCUUGUGGCUGCUACACACGAUAAUGCAAAUAAAAACUAAAAUGUCAAUUUGA